GGCUUCCGACCGUCGGGAUCAAAAGGGAAUGCCGUGCGAAUCGGCAACAGUUCCCGCUGCUGUGAGUUACACCCUGCGUUCCGGCAUCUCGGCCACUGUCCCCGCACGGGAACGGGAAGGCGCCGGAACGGUAACGAGUCAGAAGACCUGCCUACGGC
rnacentral:ncRNA from 1 species